AGCCGUUUGCGCGGCUACAAAAUAGACCUUAGGCGCAAAGCGUGUGACGGGCAUAUGUUUAGCCCGUCACGGUAGGUA
rnacentral:ribozyme from 1 species